rnacentral:rRNA from 1 species
UGGGGAAUCUUGCGCAAUGGGCGAAAGCCUGACGCAGCGACGCCGCGUGCGGGAAGAAGGCCUUCGGGUUGUAAACCGCUUUCAGGAGGGACGAAGCCACUCGGGUGAACAGCCCAGAGGGUGACGGUACCUCCAGAAGAAGCCCCGGCUAACUACGUGCCAGCAGCCGCGGUAAUACGUAGGGGGCAGGCGUUGUCCGGAUUCAUUGGGCGUAAAGAGCGUGUAGGCGGCCAGGUAGGUCGGUUGUGAAAACUGGAGGCUCAACCUUCAGAGGUCGACCGAAACCAUCUGGCUAGAGUCCGGGAGAGGAGAGUGGAAUUCCUGGUGUAGCGGUGAAAUGCGCAGAUAUCAGGAAGAACACCCGUGGCGAAAGCGGCUCUCUGGAACGGUACUGACGCGGAGACGCGAAAGCGUGGGGAGCGAACAGG